CCUACGGGAGGCUGCAGUGAGGAAUAUUGGUCAAUGGACGAGAGUCUGAACCAGCCAAGUAGCGUGAAGGAUGACUGCCCUAUGGGUUGUAAACUUCUUUUAUAUGGGAAUAAAACGUUCCACGUGUGGGAUUUUGUAUGUACCAUAUGAAUAAGGAUCGGCUAACCCCGUGCCAGCAGCCGCGGUAAUACGGAGGCACCGAGCGUUAUCCGGAUUUAUUGGGUUUAAAGGGAGCGUAGGUGGAUUGUGAAGUUAGUUGUGAAAGUUUGCGGCUCAACCGUAAAAUUGUAGUUGAAACUGGCAGUCGUGAGUACAGUCGAGGUGGGCGGAAUUCGUGGUGUAGCGGUGAAAUGCUUAGAUAUCACGAAGAACUCCGAUUGCGAAGGCAGUUCACUGGACUGCAACUGACACUGAGGCUCGAAAGUGUGGGUAUCAAACAGGAUUAGAUACCCGAGUAGUC
rnacentral:rRNA from 1 species